rnacentral:rRNA from 1 species
CCUACGGGGGGCAGCAGUGAGGAAUAUUGGUCAAUGGACGAGAGUCUGAACCAGCCAAGUAGCGUGAAGGAUGACUGCCCUAUGGGUUGUAAACUUCUUUUAUAUGGGAAUAAAGUGUUCCACGUGUGGGGUUUUGUAUGUACCAUAUGAAUAAGGAUCGGCUAACUCCGUGCCAGCAGCCGCGGUAAUACGGAGGAUACGAGCGUUAUCCGGAUUUAAUGGGUUUAAAGGGAUCGUAGGUGGAUUGUUAAGUCAGUCGGGAAAAUUUGGGGUUCAACCGUAAAAUUGCAGUUGAAACUGGCAGUCUUGAGUACAGUAGAGGUGGGCGGAAUUCGUGGUGUAGCGGUGAAAUGCUUAGAUAUCACGAAGAACUCCGAUUGCGAAGGCAGUUCACUGGACUGCAACUGACACUGAGGCUCGAAAGUGUGGGUAUCAAACAGGAUUAGAUACCCCUGUAGUC